UGCAUGCUGAACCCAAGGUCUCCUGGUCUC
rnacentral:piRNA from 1 species